CGGAGGCCGCCAUGUUGGCCGGGAACAGAGGGGCGGAGGGAGGGGCGCUAUGGCAUCUCACGCGGGUCAAACUUCCCCCAGACGCGGCAGCGGCUGAUUGGAAGAGAGUGAAUUAAUUGGUUCCUGAAGAGGAAUGCUAUGAGUAGGAAAAAUAACCGUGUUCAUGUCUAAAGGCAGCACAUGGCAGAGAUUUGUAUCACAAAGGAUAAUUGAAUGUUAUGACUAAAGCAUUCCAGCAGUUGAAGACGUGAAUGAACAGUUUGGAAUGACCAGGAGUGCUGUGCCAACAUGCAGACUUAUAUUGCUAUCAGCCUGCUCUAUUGGAGGAAUGUAAGAGCUAUUGUGGAUGGCACAUCACAGAGAAUGCAUGGCAAAAAUUACCAAAGCUGCACUCAUAUGGUGAAGAGGUGAAAUGGACCGUUAUGGAUGACCAGAUGUACAUGCAAAAAAACAGAUAAAUAAAUAAUGC